rnacentral:lncRNA from 1 species
UCAAAAUUGUUUGCCAAAAGGAGUAGAGAACUUCUGCAACGUGACACAAUGAAAAGGACGGGUAGUUGCAUCCAUCUGUGCGUUUGCUUUUUUUUUUGUUGACCUAAACAAACCGGACCGGGCUUGGUUGGGCCUUAAUGGACUGGACUGUUGUUUUUGGCCCAGCAAGCAAUGAGAUGAAUGGGAGGGAAAGGAAAUUCAAAUUGCUGGCCAAAAGAAGCAAAAAUUUUCAAAUUCUUCCAGCUAGGAUUUGUGCAGAUUGUAUGUGUGAUUGACAUGUGUCAAAAAUUACCAUUUUGCUGUGGUCUUUUUGUGUAGUUAAAAUGAUAACGCAGUAAUCACGCAGUAAUCAAUCUUAUCCAUUAAUUUUACAUCGAACGGUUAUAAUACAUAUACAUUAAAAUGAUCCUGACCAUUCAUUUAGAUCGGACGGUUGAUACUGUAACUGCGUUAACGCAGUUACAGCA